AGAAAGUUUGAUUCUUGCUUAGGUUUCUAUUUUAUAAUUAAAAAUUACAUGUAAGUUUUGACGAGAGGUGAGAAGGGAAGUUAAAUACUUUAGUUAGCUGACAGAGUGUAGUGGAGUGCUUUAAAAUGUUACCCCACAGUAAGAAGUGUUGAGUAUUGAGUGGAAGCUUGAUUUGGUAAAUUGUAGAAAGGCCUGAUGAAAUUUUGUGCCAGCAGUCGCGGUUACACUUAAAGGUUGAGUAGAAAUAGGUUGGUUAGAGUUAUUUUGGUUUAAGCUGUGGAUUUUAUUUUAUAUAGAUAAAAGGUGGAAUUAAUUAUUAAGGGUAGAAUUUAAAAUGGGGUUAAAAUUAAAAGAGGCUUAAGAGAUCGAGGGAUAAACUAGGAUUAGAUACCCUAUUAUACUUGAGAGGGAUUAUAGUGGCUUAAAUAUUAGUAGUUAAUUUCUUAAAAUUUAAAGAAUUUGGCGGCACUUUAGUCUAGUUAGAGGAACCUGUUUCGUAAAUGAUACUACACGCAAUAUCUUACCAAUUUUUGUAAAGUUUGUAUACCGUCAUUAUUAGAUAAUUUUUAUAGAAUAAAUUAUUGAGGUUAAGAAUUUUAAAUAUAUUAGAUCAAGGUGCAGCAAAUAGAUUGGAGUUAAUGGGUUACAAUAAAAUUUAUUUAUACGGAUUGAUUAAGGAAGUUAAUUAUAAAGGAGGAUUUAAUUGUAAUUUGAGUUUAAUAAGUUUAGAUGAUAAAAGCACUAAAUUGUGUACAUAUUGCCCGUCACUUCCAUUUAAGGUGGAAUAAGUCGUAACAUAGUAGGUGUACUGGAAGGUGCCCCUAGAAGUAU
rnacentral:ncRNA from 1 species